rfam:Gossypium raimondii chromosome 2, whole genome shotgun sequence.
AAACUAUGCAUCGGGCGUUUUCUAAUUAACUCCUUGAAUUGCUCCCAUGCUUCAUAUAAUGUUUCGUCCUCAGAUUUCCAAAAGGACAUAAUAUCAUUCCUCAGUUU